UUGAACGCUGGCGGCAUGCUUUACACAUGCAAGUCGAACGGUAACAGGCCUUCGGGUGCUGACGAGUGGCGAACGGGUGAGUAAUGCAUCGGAACGUGCCCAGAGGUGGGGGAUAACGCAGCGAAAGCUGUGCUAAUACCGCAUGUGAUCUGAGGAUGAAAGCGGGGGACCAGGCAGCAAUGUUUGGCCUCGCGCCUUUGGAGCGGCCGAUGUCAGAUUAGGUAGUUGGUGGGGUAAAGGCCUACCAAGCCGACGAUCUGUAGCUGGUCUGAGAGGACGAUCGGCCACACUGGGACUGAGACACGGCCCAGACUCCUACGGGAGGCAGCAGUAGGGAAUUUUGGACAAUGGGCGCAAGCCUGAUCCAGCAAUGCCGCGUGCGUGAAGAAGGCCUUCGGGUUGUAAACCGCUUUUGUACGGAACGAAAAGGUUCUGGCUAAUACCUGGGGCUGAUGACGGUACCGUAAGAAUAAGCACCGGCUAACUACGUG
rnacentral:rRNA from 1 species